rnacentral:rRNA from 1 species
UACAGAGGUCUCAAGCGUUGUUCGGAUUCAUUGAGCGUAAAGGGUGUGUAGGUGGCGCGCUAAGUCGGGUGUGAAAUUUCGGAGCUUAACUCCGAAACUGCAUUCGAUACUGGCGUGCUUGAGGACUGGAGAGGAGACUGGAAUUCAUGGUGUAGCAGUGAAAUGCGUAGAGAUCAUGAGGAAGACCAGUGGCGAAGGCGGGUCUCUGGACAGUUCCUGACACUGAGACACGAAGGCCAGGGGAGCAAACGGG